GCAGAGCAUCCUACGGGAGGCAGCAGUGGGGAAUAUUGGCACAAUGGGCGCAAGCCUGAUGCAGCCAUGCCGCGUGUAUGAAGAAGGCCUUCGGGUUGUAAAGUACUUUCAGCAGUGAGGAAGGUGGAUAUGUUAAUAGCAUAUUCAUUUGACGUUAGCUGCAGAAGAAGCACCGGCUAACUCCGUGCCAGCAGCCGCGGUAAUACGGAGGGUGCGAGCGUUAAUCGGAAUUACUGGGCGUAAAGCGCAUGCAGGUGGUUGUUAAGUCAGAUGUGAAAGCCCCGGGGCUCAACCUCGGAAUUGCAUUUGAAACUGGCAAACUAGAGUACUGUAGAGGGGGUAGAAUUUCAGGUGUAGCGGUGAAAUGCGUAGAGAUCUGAAGGAAUACCGGUGGCGAAGGCGGCCCCCUGGACAGAUACUGACACUCAGAUGCGAAAGCGUGGGGAGCAAACAGGAUUAGAUACCCUGGUAG
rnacentral:rRNA from 1 species